rnacentral:miRNA from 1 species
AUUCGGUCCGGAGUCAAUGGG